rnacentral:rRNA from 1 species
GACGAACGCUGGCGGCGUGCUUAACACAUGCAAGUCGAGCGAGAAACCUUCGGGUUUCUAGCGGCGGACGGGUGAGUAACACGUGGGUAACCUGCCUCAAAGAGGGGGAUAGCCUUCCGAAAGGAAGAUUAAUACCGCAUAAUAUUACAGUUUCGCAUGAAGCAGUAAUUAAAGGAGUAAUCCGCUUUGAGAUGGACCCGCGGCGCAUUAGCUAGUUGGAGAGGUAACGGCUCACCAAGGCAACGAUGCGUAGCCGACCUGAGAGGGUGAUCGGCCACAUUGGAACUGGGCAACGGUCCAGACUCCUACGGGAGGCAGCAGUGGGGAAUAUUGCACAAUGGGCGAAAGCCUGAUGCAGCAACGCCGCGUGAGUGAUGAAGGUCUUCGGAUUGUAAAGCUCUGUCUUUUGGGACGAUAAUGACGGUACCAAAGGAGGAAGCCACGGCUAACUACGUGCCAGCCGCCGCCGUAA